rnacentral:rRNA from 1 species
CUGGGGCUGUAGUCGGUCCCAAGGGUUGGGCUGUUCGCCCAUUAAAGCGGUACGCKAGCUGGGUUCAGAACGUCGUGAGACAGUUCGGUCCCUAUCCGUCGCGGGCGCAGGMAAUUUGAGAGGAGCUGUCCUUAGUACGAGAGGACCGGGAUGGACGCACCGCUGGUGUACCAGUUGUCCCGCCAGGGGCACCGCUGGGUAGCUAUGUGCGGACGGGAUAAGCGCUGAAAGCAUCUAAGCGUGAAGCCCCCCUCAAGAUGAGAUUUCCCACCGCGUGAAGCGGGUAAGAUCCCUCGAAGAUGACGAGGUCGAUAGGUCCGAGGUGGAAGCGUGGCGACACGUGGAGCUGACGGAUACUAAUCGAUCGAGGGCUUAACCAAGAA